UCCACAGGCGCCGCCUCCCUGCCCCCCGGCCGGUUAAAUCGCCACUCGGGUAACAGGCCUUCGUGGGGACCCUGCAGACGCCCUUCAACACUCGAGACUACUCCCCGGGCCCCUUUCCCCCAACCCUCACCCGGACCGCGGACACAGACACACAGAUACACACACAUAAACUACUCCAUGAGAGCAGAAACCACAUCUGUCUGUUCUGUUCAAACUAAGCUCUAUUUCUAGUGCCUACAAGAAGAGUUCAGUACAAGUUUGCUGAGUGAAUGAAUGAACACGGGUUUCCUGCCUCCUGGGCUCCAGCUCUCCGAAUAAAACCACAGCUUUCUCCCUUCAUGUCUUACCAGGAACCCAGAGAGAGGCUAAGAAGAUACGAAAGUGAAAUCUGCUCAGCAACCAGGAAAGCCUCAUGUGAGUGGCAGGAACUCCGUGGCCUUCUGGCACAAACAUCCAAAAUUGGGUUCCAGUCAGCUGGUGCAGGAAGAAGAGGAUCUCUCAAGAGGGCCUGUGGCUUGUCCCCACCAUCUGGGGUAUGUCUUCAGAGGAAAGAUAAUACAUAUGGUGGACCUGUGGGGAGAGCUGCUGGGUCUCUGUUUUCUGAUACAUAAGCUAAGACCUCCCAUGUGGCAAAGGAUGUCUGUCAACCACCAAGAAUGCCUGGGAGGUGUAGUUAAGAUGCCAAAGAGUUGGGUUUUCUGGAACAUGGCAGACAUUUCUGGGGCCAGCAAACCACCUAACUCCAGGGAGGAAAAAUACACAGUCUGAAAAAGCAAGUGGUCUCUGUCCUCAUUUGGGAAGCAGAGUGAAUACCAGAAGAAGGGGGUGA